rnacentral:rRNA from 1 species
UGGGUAACCUGCCUUAUAUGGGGGAUAGCCUUUCGAAAGGAAGAUUAAUACCGCAUAAGAUUGUAGUAUCGCAUGAUAUAGCAAUUAAAGGAGCAAUUCGCUAUAAGAUGGACCCGCGUCGCAUUAGCUAGUUGGUGAGGUAAUGGCUCACCAAGGCGACGAUGCGUAGCCGACCUGAGAGGGUGAUCGGCCACAUUGGGACUGAGGCACGGCCCAGACUCCUACGGGAGGCAGCAUG